ensembl:lncRNA
CGUACACACACACUGAAUGUCCUACUGCCCAGUCCACCUUAAGAAGGCUCAGGCCUGUGUGUGUGCGUGUGCCUGUGUGUGUGCGUGUGCCUGUGUGUGUGCAUGCCCCAGUGCAGUGGUAGGGAAGCAACGUGAACAGGCUGGGGCUGUGAGGCUGAGCGAGACACAAUCCGACAAUGGAGCUGUAGCCAGACAGCUCUGUCUCUCUGCACUGCAACGCUUCAGAUCGGGGCGAGACGCCUCAGCGCCGCUGUUUGCAUACCAAGCUGAACAAAUAAAACUGUUUGUCACAGGGCUGAGGCGGAGGCUCGAAAUAGGUUUCCCUUUUUUAUGCAAGAAGAGAGCUCUAGCAGCAACAGACGAGCAAUAGAGAUUUCCAAUAGAAACCCAGUUUAGUCCGUUGAGCGACCCGAAAAAAUUCUCAAAGACGAGACAGUUACCUGGACUAGACCGUUACAGUGCAAAUCUACACCUUAUAGCGCUAUAUCCUAACACAGUGUCUGCUGCAAAAAUAAAUGCUACAUUUGACACAUUUCACUCUCCCCUCGAACCACACCGAACCAUUGUGUGUGAAUCGACAAUGCGGAUUUAAAGCAUGUUAGACUUUCAAUGUUAAUAAGCUAGUGGUGAGAAUGUCUCACCCAGAUCUCACCCAGGGGUGAGCUAUGUUAAUGAGCUAGUGGUGAGAAUGUCUCACCCAGAUCUCACCCAGGGGUGAGCUAUGUUAAUGAGCUAGUGGUGAGAAUGUCUGACCCAGGUCUCACCCAGGGGUGAGCUAUGUUAAUG